rnacentral:rRNA from 1 species
GACAAACGCUGGCGGCGUGCUUAACACAUGCAAGUCGAACGGAGCCCUUUCGGGGGCUGAGUGGCGCACGGGUGAGGAACACGUAGCUGACCUGCCUUCCAGCGGGGGAUAAACGUCCCGAAAGGGAUGCUAAGACCGCAUAAGCUCACACGCUCUAGAGGCGCGUGAAGAAAAGCUACGGCUACUGGAAGAGGGGGCUGCGGCCCAUCAGGUAGUUGGUGCGGUAACGGCGCACCAAGCCGACGACGGGUCGGGAUCUGAGAGGAUGACUCCCCACACUGGGACUGAGACACGGCCAGACUCCGUACGGGAGCAGCAGUGAGGAUAUUGCACAAUGGGACGAAAGCCUGAUGCAGCGACGCCGC